CAUUGCACUCCAGCCUGGGCAACAACAGCAAAACUCCGUCUCAAAAAAAGAAAAAAAAUGAAAGGCCUGGCCUGCCAAUGGUUCGAGUGGCCUCUCCCCCCACCCAUCCACGGUCCCUCCCUUCAGGUACCACUGCAAAUUUGCAGAGGGUAACAGAGGCUGAGGCCAGUAUGGAGGCUGCAGAGGGAGGGAAAUGGAGCUCCCAUGGGUGCUUCCUGGGCGGCCCAACCUAUUCUGCAUGUGGCCUCCAGCUGUUCAGAGCAGCUCCAGGAGUGUGGAUUCUGAUAAGCCGCAGAGCCCUGGAAAGCAAGAGACUAUGUGCAGAUGUCCUUGGCAGGGCGCUGUCCCUUCUGUGGUUGGACCUCUGGAGCCUGGGGCCAUAUUCGGGAACAGUGUUUUGGUUCUGACAUGCAUAGGGUCCCUGGGGUCAGACGGUAAUCUGUAUAUAUGAAGAAAAUCUGUGAAGGUCAGGUUUGGAGACAGAAUUGUUUGGGACCUCACCUGCAGAAACAGUUUAUGAAGUUGACUAUUUAGCUCAGAAGCUUAGACUGUCACCUGGUAAGAGUUUCCUGCUGGUAAAUGUGAAGGUCUGGAAGGAGGGAGCAUUUCCACACUGUGAGGAGGGGAUGGGGGAGUAUGAGAGAAAGCCUUGGCUAUGUCUCAUCCUCAGUUGCCACCCCCUGAAGGACACCUGCCUCUCCCUCCUGGUCCAAUCAUGCCUGACCUGGUCUUGGUUCCUCUCUGACUCUGAGGUGACGAGAUUGCCCUGCUGGACACUGAGUCUGGAAUUCCCAGUACACACUUGUAACCCCAAUGGAGAAGAAAGGAGCAGGAACAGCUCUUUGAGUGAGGAAAAAGAUAGUGCCCUGUCUAAAAUUCGGGAGCAAAUUUCACUAAAAUGAAAAUAUCCAAUGACCAAGUUGUAGGGAGGGAGCUGGCCCUUAGAUGGUGGCUAGAACCCCUCACUUCUGCUCCCCAGGUCCAGUUACCCAGGGCUUCUACUGUCACUCUGGGAUGAGGGGAUGGGGGCCUGGACCUCUGUCCAAUCAGGAGUGCUGGGGCGGGGCCCUGCCAACUGUCUGUCCUGGGAAGGUGGGGACGCAUUCCCGCUCUCACCUUGGUGACCUUGCCUACUGAGAUUGGGAUCCAGUCUUUCCCGCUGUGAAAGGGACCAGGUCCCUACACCACAACUGCCGUCGCUCUGUCGCCUGCACUGUGACCUGCACUAGUCACGGGAGCCCUAGAGAGAUAAGCCAGGACGCCUGGAAAUGAGGUCAGGUUCUUGAAGGUUUCCUGCAUCACAUCCCUGUAGAGAUUCUUCUGGGAAGGAUCCAGCAAAGCCCACUCCUCCUGGGUGAAGCUGACAGCCACAUCCUCAAAGGCCACUGAAUCCUGAAACAUCUCACAUAUAUAAAAGAGGACAGAAGCCAGGUUCCUGAAGGUUUCCUGCAUCACAUCUCUGUAGAGAUUCUUCUGGGAAGGAUCCAGCAAAGCCCACUCCUCCUGGGUGAAGUUCACAUCUACAUCCUCAAAGACCACUGAAUCCUGAAACAUCCCACAUGUGUAAAGAAACAUGGACGGAGUUUCGCUCUUGUUGCCCAGGCUGGAGUGCAAU
rnacentral:lncRNA from 1 species